rnacentral:rRNA from 1 species
AACGAACGCUGGCGGCAGGCUUAACACAUGCAAGUCGAUCGCCCCGCAAGGGGAGCGGCAGACGGGUGAGUAACGCGUGGGAAUCUACCCAUCUCUAAGGCAUAACGCAUGGAGACGUGUGCUAAUACCGUAUACGUCCUUCGGGAGCAAGAUUUAUCGGAGAUGGAUGAGCCCGCGUUGGAUUAGGUAGUUGGUGGGGGAAAGGCCUACCAAGGCGACGAGCCAUAGCUGGUCUGAGAGGAUGAUCCGCCACACUGGGACUGAGAAACGGUCCAGACUCCUACGGGAGGCAGCAGUGGGGAAUAUUGGACAAUGGGCGCAAGCCUGAUCCAUCCAUGCCGCGUGAGUGAUGAAGGCCCUAGGGUUGUACAGCUCUUUCACCGGUGAAGAUAAUGACGGUAACCGGAGAAGAAGCCCCGGCUAACUUCGUGCCAGCAGCCGCCGUAAAAC